UACGAAGGGGGCUAGCGUUGCUCGGAAUCACUGGGCGUAAAGGGUGCGUAGGCGGGUCUUUAAGUCAGGGGUGAAAUCCUGGAGCUCAACUCCAGAACUGCCUUUGAUACUGAGGAUCUUGAGUUCGGGAGAGGUGAGUGGAACUGCGAGUGUAGAGGUGAAAUUCGUAGAUAUUAGGAAGAACACCAGUGGCGAAGGCGGCUCACUGGCCCGGUACUGACGCUCAUGUGCGAAAGCGUGGGGAGCAACAGGG
rnacentral:rRNA from 1 species